rnacentral:rRNA from 1 species
UGGGGAAUUUUGGACAAUGGGCGAAAGCCUGAUCCAGCAAUGCCGCGUGUGUGAAGAAGGCCUUCGGGUUGUAAAGCACUUUUGUCCGGAAAGAAAUGGCUCUGGUUAAUACCUGGGGUCGAUGACGGUACCGGAAGAAUAAGGACCGGCUAACUACGUGCCAGCAGCCGCGGUAAUACGUAGGGUCCAAGCGUUAAUCGGAAUUACUGGGCGUAAGCGUGCGCAGGCGGUUGUGCAAGACCGAUGUGAAAUCCCCGAGCUUAACUUGGGAAUUGCAUUGGUGACUGCACGGCUAGAGUGUGUCAGAGGGGGGUUAGAAUUCCACGUGUAGCAGUGAAAUGCGUAGAGAUGUGGAGGAAUACCGAUGGCGAAGGCAGCCCCUGGGAUAACACUGACGCUCAUGCACGAAAGCGUGGGGAGCAAACAGGAUUAGAUACCCUGGUAGUCCACGCCCCUAAACGAUGU